rnacentral:rRNA from 1 species
UGGCUCAGGAUGAACGCUAGCUACAGGCUUAACACAUGCAAGUCGAGGGGCAUCAGGAAGAAAGCUUGCUUUCUUUGCUGGCGACCGGCGCACGGGUGAGUAACACGUAUCCAACCUGCCCUUUACUCGGGGAUAGCCUUUCGAAAGAAAGAUUAAUACCCGAUAGCAUAAUGAUUCCGCAUGGUUUCAUUAUUAAAGGAUUCCGGUAAAGGAUGGGGAUGCGUUCCAUUAGGUUGUUGGUGAGGUAACGGCCCACCAAGCCUUCGAUGGAUAGGGGUUCUGAGAGGAAGGUCCCCCACAUUGGAACUGAGACACGGUCCAAACUCCUACGGGAGGCAGCAGUGAGGAAUAUUGGUCAAUGGGCGCUAGCCUGAACCAGCCAAGUAGCGUGAAGGAUGAAGGCUCUAUGGGUCGUAAACUUCUUUUAUAUAAGAAUAAAGUGCAGUAUGUAUACUGUUUUGUAUGUAUUAUAUGAAUAAGGAUCGGCUAACUCCGUGCCAGCAGCCGCGGUAAUACGGAGGAUCCGAGCGUUAUCCGGAUUUAUUGGGUUUAAAGGGAGCGUAGGUGGACUGGUAAGUCAGUUGUGAAAGUUUGCGGCUCAACCGUAAAAUUGCAGUUGAUACUGUCAGUCUUGAGUACAGUAGAGGUGGGCGGAAUUCGUGGUGUAGCGGUGAAAUGCUUAGAUAUCACGAAGAACUCCGAUUGCGAAGGCAGCUCACUGGACUGCAACUGACACUGAUGCUCGAAAGUGUGGGUAUCAAACAGGAUUAGAUACCCUGGUAGUCCACACAGUAAACGAUGAAUACUCGCUGUUUGCGAUAUACAGUAAGCGGCCAAGCGAAAGCAUUAAGUAUUCCACCUGGGGAGUACGCCGGCAACGGUGAAACUCAAAGGAAUUGACGGGGGCCCGCACAAGCGGAGGAACAUGUGGUUUAAUUCGAUGAUACGCGAGGAACCUUAUCCGGGCUUAAAUUGCAGUGGAAUGAUGUGGAAACAUGUCAGUGAGCAAUCACCGCUGUGAAGGUGCUGCAUGGUUGUCGUCAGCUCGUGCCGUGAGGUGUCGGCUUAAGUGCCAUAACGAGCGCAACCCUUAUCUUUAGUUACUAACAGGUUAUGCUGAGGACUGUAGAGAGACUGCCGUCGUAAGAUGUGAGGAAGGUGGGGAUGACGUCAAAUCAGCACGGCCCUUACGUCCGGGGCUACACACGUGUUACAAUGGGGGGUACAGAAGGCAGCUAGCGGGUGACCGUAUGCUAAUCCCAAAAUCCUCUCUCAGUUCGGAUCGAAGUCUGCAACCCGACUUCGUGAAGCUGGAUUCGUUAGUAAUCGCGCAUCAGCCACGGCGCGGUGAAUACGUUCCCGGGCCUUGUACACACCGCCCGUCAAGCCAUGGGAGCCGGGGGUACCUGAAGUACGUAACCGCAAGGAUCGUCCUAGG